rnacentral:rRNA from 1 species
UGGGGAAUAUUGGACAAUGGGCGCAAGCCUGAUCCAGCAAUACCGCGUGAGUGAUGAAGGUCUUCGGAUCGUAAAGCUCUUUUAGUGGAGAAGAUAAUGACGGUAUCCACAGAAAAAGCACCGGCAAACUUCGUGCCAGCAGCCGCGGUAAUACGAAGGGUGCUAGCGUUGUUCGGAAUCAUUGGGCGUAAAGCGUACGUAGGCGGUUUAGUAAGUCGAUUGUGAAAUACCCGAGCUCAACUUGGGAAUUGCAAUCGAAACUGCUUGGCUAGAGUUUAGUGGGGGAUAGUGGAAUUCCUAGUGUAGGGGUGAAAUCCGUAGAUAUUAGGAGGAACAUCAGUGGCGAAGGCGACUAUCUACGCUAACACUGACGCUAAGGUACGAAAGCGUGGGGAGCAAACAGG